rnacentral:lncRNA from 1 species
GGAUCUUGGACUUGGGCUGGCACAGAGAUUGUGGUCCUACCCAGGCAGAGGAAGGAUGAGCUGCUUCUAGGAGCUGUUCCUAUCUCAACUCUUUGGAAGAACAAAGGACAACCCUUCAAUCCUUCCUUAUGAUUCCUGAUGAUCUGAAGUGCAGUUUGAGCAGAUCUAAUUAUCCCUGCUGUCUAUAGCAUCAUUCCUUGAGUAAUGGAUCUCCAGAGAACUCCUCCUCCUCUCUCUUUCUGGGUUAUGAUCUAUUGCAUGUCAGUGCAUCAUCAAAGCAAAUUGCCUCUUCAAUGAUGUCUCCAGCAAGAAUGACACCUCCUCCUACCAUUUCUGAAAGCGUGGGCUCUUUGAGCAGGCUGUGGUUUAUGUCUCUGGUUCUUAAGGCCAAAAGAAGAAAAAUAAGCUAAUUUAUGUUGACGAUGACAUGUGGCUGAAAAAAUCGACUUCACUUUCAUUUCUGAAUGGCAGUUUGUCU